ensembl:lncRNA
CAAAAAGAGGGACCCCAAAGAGAGGGACCCCAAAAGAGGACCCCAAAAAGAGGGAACCCGAAAAGAGGGAACUCAACGAGAGGGGCCCCAAAAUCGGACCCCAAAAAGAGGGACCCCAAAGAGAGGGACCCCAAAAGUGGGACCCCAAAGAGAGGGACCCCAAAGAGAGGGACCCCAAAGUAGGAUCCCAAAAAGAGGGACCCCAAAAUAGGACCCCAAAAAGAGGGAGACCAAAGAGAGGGACCCCAAAGUGGGACCCCAAAAGUGGGACACCAAAAAGAGGCCCCCCCAAGAAAAAGAGGGACCCCAAAGAGUGGGGCCCCAAAAGUGGGACCCCAAAAGUGGGACCCCCCAAAGAGAGGGACCCCAAAGUAGGACCCCAAAAUGGGAACCCAAAGAGAGGGACCCCAAAGUGGGACCCCAAAAGUGGGACACCAAAAAGAUGGACCCCCCCAAAAAAGAGGGAGACCAAAGAGAGGGACCCCAAAAAGUGGGACCCCAAACAGAGGGACCCCAAAAUGGGACCCCAAAGAGUGGAACCCCCCCAAAAAGUGGGACCCCAAAGAGAGAGACCCCAAAAGUGGGACUCCAAA